UACGUAGGUGGCGAGCGUUGUCCGGAUUUACUGGGCGUAAAGGGCGUGCAGGCGGUUUGUUAAGUGCAGGGUGAAAGCUCCCGGCUCAACUGGGAGAGGUCCUUGCAUACUGGCGAACUCGAGGGAGGCAGAGGAAAGUGGAAUUCCCGGUGUAGUGGUGAAAUGCGUAGAUAUCGGGAGGAACACCGGUGGCGAAGGCGGUUCUCUGGGCAUUACCUGACGCUGAGGAGCGAAAGUGUGGGGGAGCGAACAGG
rnacentral:rRNA from 1 species